UUUUAUUGGCCGAUGUUUUAAAAAAUAUAACUCAGCCUCGCCCUUUAUCUUCCUGUUCUUUCCUCUUCUGCAUUUUUUUAGACGCCUCCUUAUCUCUCUCAUGAGAGUCAUCUCUUUAUCUCAUAUCCGUCUUCCAUGGAAAUUAAUUAAGCCUAAAAAAAGUUCUUCUCUAAGAUCUAAAAUAUGUUUGAUUCUCUUAUCUCUUUUUUUUUCUUCGUUUUUGUUUUCUCGCGUCGUUCUCCAAUGGAAGACGGAGAUAUCCGGCUUCAAAUCAAGGGCUUCUCGCCAACGCUCUGGGAUACUGGCCACCACUCCAAGAUUUUUCGGUUCGUAAUUCCAGCUACUAUCAUUGUCACCGACAAUUUAAUUGUGUUGUUCUUGAAGUAUGCUGAUAUUGGACGUUAAAUAGCCACAAUUGGAGCAAUUUGGAUCAUUUAUAUUCCAAAACAUUUGAACAAAGAUAUAACAAAUCUUUAUGGCCUCAACACUUUCAAAUUACAUAGGUUAGUUGAUUUGUAUUUUGUUAAUAUGAAUUCUUACUUUUAUUCUUUCAAAUUUUAAUCAUAGAUUUUCUUGAUUACUAAAUACUUGUUCUGAGACCAAAGGACAAGUAUUUGGCUUAUUUGGAACAAAUGGGGUUGGGAAGACUGUUACACUAAUGUUUUGGAUCGAACAUUGAAGCUUAACUUAGGGAGGUUUAAUGUAAUCUGCUUCAUUUUGAUGACUUUUUGUUAUUGCUUCUUGAUAUCUUUUGCCUAUAUACUAUUGUAUGUUUUUCUUUAAAAUAAAUGGCAGGAAGUCUUAGCUUAUUUCCGUGUAUCAUAACUGCAAAAGUAUGAUAUGUGCAUAUUGGAAGAUAACCUGAAGGUUUCCUAUUGCGGAGUGGUGUCAUAUAUAUGUUUUCUGAACCUUCAAGUUAUUUGGAUGUGAAACAACGGCUAAAUGCUGCCAAAGUUAUAUGAUCAUUGCUAAACCGGAAGAGCUUGCUUGAUGCUACUAAUGCUGCUGUCUGUUGCUGUUGAUCUGCUUUCGAGCUUCUGCUGCCUGUUUCACCUGUUCGGCUUUCGAGUUGCUGUACUACUAUUCAGUUUGCCAGCUAUUGUUCUUCUACUUCUGAGUUGCUGUUGUUUUGCUUCUAAGUUGCUACUAUUGUUCUGCUUUCGAGCUGCUGCUGCUGUUGCUAUUUUUCUUCCGAGUUGCUGAUGUUCAGUUUCCAAGCUGUUACUGAUUUUCACAUUGUAAUUUUUUUUUUGUGAUGAAAUUGUAAUAUUACAAGAAUUUAUUAAUAAAUUUAUCCUAGUUUUAUAUAUAUAUAAUUGUAUGUUCAUUAAUUUUACUUUUUUUGGAAUAA